GAUGAAGAACGCAGCGAAAUGCGAUACGUAAUGUGAAUUGCAGAAUUCAGUGAAUCAUCGAAUCUUUGAACGCACAUUGCGCCCGCCAGUAUUCUGGCGGGCAUGCCUGUUCGAGCGUCCUUACAACCCUCAGGCCCCCGGGCCUGGCGUUGGGGAUCGGCGGAGCCCCCCGUGGGCACACGCCGUCCCCCAAAUGCAGUGGCGGUCCCGCCGCAGCUUCCAUCGCGUAGUAGCUAACACCUCGCGACUGGAGAGCGGCGCGGCCACGCCGUAAAACACCCAACUCUUCUGAAGUUGACCUCGAAUCAGGUAGGAAUACCCGCUGAACUUAAGCAUAUCAAUAAGCGGAGGA
rnacentral:misc_RNA from 1 species